GUCGGAGUGGCGGAAUUUGGUAGACGCGCUAGGUUGAGGGCCUAGUCCUCGCUUCAGAGGGUGGGGGUUCGAGUCCCCCCUCCGACACUA
rnacentral:tRNA from 1 species